rnacentral:tRNA from 1 species
ACCUGGGUGGCUCAGUCGGUUGAGCGUCUGACUUCAGCUCAGGUCAUGAUCUCGCAGUUUGUGGGUUUGAGCCCCACGUCGGGCU